AAAUGAGCUAGAGCACAAAGCAAAGAAAAAAGUCCAGAUGAUGAUGAUGGGCUAUUGCUAUGUACCUCUGCUCAUAUUUUUAUUUUUUAUUUUAUUUUUUCCUAUGUAGUACUAAUGAA
rnacentral:ribozyme from 14 species